GAAUCAUGGGAGGUGUCUGGAUCCUGGUGCUUUGUCCUCUGAUGUUUUUGCUCCAUGGGUCAUGCUUUCCAGUUGAUAAAAAUGAAGCACAUCAGGAGCCACAGACUGGAAACUUGUUUUCCCAAAAUGAAAUUUACAUGAAGAGGAAAAGUAUGUCUUUGCUCCAGUCAAUGGAUUCCAGGUUGAGG